GUCCACGCCCUAAACGAUGCAUAUUUGGUGUGGGCAGUUCAUUCUGUCCGUGCCGGAGCUAACGCGUUAAAUAUGCCGCCUGGGGAGUACAGUCGCAAGGCUGAAACUCAAAGGAAUUGACGGGGGCCCGCACAAGCGGUGGAGCAUGUGGUUCAAUUCGACGCAACGCGAAGAACCUUACCUGGGCUCGAACGGCUGGUCAACGGAGGUGGAAACACUUCUACCCCGCAAGGGGGUCCAGUCGAGGUGCUGCAUGGCUGUCGU
rnacentral:rRNA from 1 species